AGACACUCUAAAAGCUCAAGAGAUCAAUUAUUCAACUUCAAGAACUGAAAUUUGAACACAGAUUUUGAGCUUCCAAAUCAACUGCUGUUAAACUGGCUCACUCCAUAUACUCUGUGCUACAACAAUUUAAUAUUUCAUUAAAAAGCAUUAAUGAUGGCUCCAGUGAAUUUCUCCUAUUCAAGCUCCAUAAUGACAGCAGUUCAAGCGAGUGUUGAUCUCUGAGUGAUGCAACACAAAAACAUCUCCUAACAAAGGAACACUUGGAGUGCUACUCAUAUUCUCUGCAGCUUGAGGUAAAGUUGGAGAGCUAGCUGCUGAGUGGUACCUUGUAAUUUAAUCUGCUAAUAUGGGAAAGAUUGAAAUCAGCAAGUUUCUGGCUGUAAGCUAAAAGAGGCUCUUGAAUCAUAUUUCCGCCUGCUUAGCAAAUUUCUCUUGCGACAAUUGGAUGUUAUUUGGCGUUCCAUACUAGCAGGAAGAAGUACAAGCAAAGCUAAGUC
rnacentral:lncRNA from 1 species